rnacentral:rRNA from 1 species
CUGCUGCCUCCCGUAGGAGUUUGGGCCGUGUCUCAGUCCCAAUGUGGCCGUUCACCCUCUCAGGCCGGCUACUGAUCGUCGCCUUGGUGGGCCGUUACCCCUCCAACCAGCUAAUCAGACGCGGGUCCAUCCUGUACCACCGGAGUUUUUCACACUGUACCAUGCGGUACUGUGCGCUUAUGCGGUUUUAGCACCUAUUUCUAAGUGUUAUCCCCCAGUGUAAGGCAGGUUACCCACGCGUUACUCACCCGUCGCCACUAAGAUUUA